UAACAGACGUGAAGAAUAUUACCUUUCCAAACCCCAUUAAAAAGGAGUUAGACUUGGGUGCGGGUGCCCGCAUGCUAUGCGGCCCCGACCCAGAUCAAACAUAUGUAGAUAAAACAUUUUAGUAAAUUAGAUCAAAAGUAGUGUCUGGUUCAUUGGUAAAGCAUGUGCCUCUUAUACCAAAGGGAUAAGGUUUGCAACCCCUUUCCCCCUUUCUUUUUUGGAUUUCUGUUUUUUUUUCUUGCAUUUUCGUUUUUUCCUUUUCUUUUCCCCCUUUUUUUCUGUUCUUUUUAUUUUUGUUCCUUUUUUUUCGAUUUUGUGCUUUUCCCUUUUUUUCUUCAUUUUUUGUUCUUUUUU
rnacentral:lncRNA from 1 species